GCUGCACACAGUAACUGCACUCCGCGCUCUCACUGUUAAUAACUUUGCCGCGUCGUUAAGUAUUAAUUUAAGCCAUUUUCGUGUUGCGCACAUGUAUGUUUAUGAUGUAUCUAGUUUAGUUAGCACUUUGGAUAACAUUGAGAGUCCAAUUGAAUGUAAAAGAGGGGUUUUUCAGCGCCACAAAAGCGUUGGGAGCAAAAUUUUAUAAGGGAGAAAAUUUGGACAGAACACCGGAUCCAGUCACGACAUUCCCAUAGGGAUCCAUUAUACGAUUUUACUUCCGGCUACUUCCGGGUUAUGGAGCCUUGGAUAGUUACAAACAUCGCAUUUGACAGGGCGGACACCAUUCAUUUGAACGGCAGGCUGUCAAGUAUAUUUGGAGAGGCCCUUUGUGACAUAGAUUUAUCUGUCAUGUGUUGCAUUUAUAUAUGAUAUACAUCAUGCUGGUGCCUGCUAAUGGUGACUACUGGAUGCGACUGGUGGCUGUGGCGACUGAGGGAGACUGGUGGCUGUAGACAGUGUGGUGGGAAUAAAGAGGGCAAAUUCACCAAUGGAGAGGAGAAAGCUUUGAUGCACAUGGAUUGAAUUCUCAAUAUUCUCAAUCGCAGCCUAAUCUGCUCCACAACAUUGGAGGAUUCCUUGAGGGAAUCAUUCGUUGCCAAACGGAACAGCUGCUCGACAUCCUUUAAGAGAGUGAAGACCUCAUCCGAUGGCCGGUGCUUCAACCAAUGCACACUGGCAUUGGUUGCAGAGUGAGAAGCUGAUGACCCUCUUCACUAUGCAUCCUGCCAGAUGGUCACAUUUUCAAAAUCCGCUUCUGCUGGGGACUGCUGCUGGUGCCUGCUGGCUUUGGGCACGAAGCCCAUUUUUCAAAUAGCAAAAAAACAUUAAAUAAGCCUUUUAUUUCAUGUUUUGACGGCUGACCAUUGCCAUCCAUUUUUUUCUGCUGUUCUUGUUCUUCCCAUGCUGUACAACCAGCCAUCACAGGCCACUGAUCUAUAAAAUGUUAGGUGUAAACAACCAUGACACCAGUUUCACCAAUUGUUCCACAAAAAUGUUUUACUUCAUCAAAGGGUAAUAAGUUAUUGUUAUACAUUACACCAUGUUACAGAAAAUAAUACAAUUUUGUUCCUGUCUUGUAAUCAUUUUAUUUGUGUUGCUUGAGUCCAAACUAAAUGAAAAAUGCCUCUAAAAAGGUACAGGUUUGGUUUUGCUAAAUUUAGAGGCUAUAUUCAAAAUUAUAUUUGUUAAACCUAAUAUCUUUGUGUUUCAGGUCAAACUAAGUCUAUAAAAUAAAAAGGAAAAUGUACACACAUAUAUAUUAGAAAGUACAACAGUAAAAAAAAAGUGGAAAAUAGAAUUCAAAAGACCUCCAACUUUUCGGGAAACAAGUGUUUUUAUAUGUCAAUGCGACGAAACAAACUAGGAUGUGCCAUUUAGAAUUUAGGAACAAACGAUGUCAUACAUGGUGUUAUCUUUGAUAUAUUACCACAGGUAGGUGAAUCAAGGAAAUCGAGACAUUCUCUGGAAAAACAGUAUUCUUGUGACAAAAGAAAAACCUAAAUCAUCUUGCAUUUCAAUGUAAAAGUCGAUUUCUCGUGCAAAUGCUAAAACAAACAUCAAACUUUCACUGCACGUGGGAAAGUUCCUUUCUGCGUAACAGUUUACAUAGUUUUCAGUUGUCGCCUUACCCUUCCAAAUGUAAAACUAGCAUUUAAAUAUAUGUUAUAAUGCAAUUAAAUAAUCAAACUAGUACUUAGAUACGCAAUUUUUUCCAUUUUCCCAUAAAUGUCACAAUUACCGCUGUCAGUUCCAUUAUAACCCCUACAGCGCUGCUUGUGCUUGGAACUAUCCACACCCUGCUGGAACCACGUGACCACCUGCGGUGACAUCAAAGAGUGUCGCGACUCUCUUUACACAGCUCUGAUUUGGCCUAUCCAGCAUUCAGGAACCAGAAAUUGAUAAAAGAUGUUAUAACUUAAGUUUUAAUUUUGGGCAAAAUUUCAAACUCAUUGUGUAAAAUAUGUAAAUCAAUGACCAAAUUUUCAUGUUUUUGGAAAAAUGUUUUCUUUACACUUGGACAGAGGUGGUCAGUAACGCGUUACAUGUACACCAUUACAUUUACUUGAGUAACUUUUUGAGAAAAAUGUACUUCUAAGAGUAGUUUUACUAUGCUAUUCUUUUACUUUUACUCAAGUAGAUUUCUAAAGAAAAAAACUACUCUUAUGCCGCUACUUUGGGCUACACAAGAUUCGUUACAUUUUCCCUCUUUAUUCUACAUAUUAGAUUUAUUAUUCUUUUUGCAAGCGAUGCUAAGAGUUGAGACGUGCCUGGUGUAUUACCAGGGUAGCUCUACCGAUUUCACCAGAGAUGUUUCAACAAUAGUCACAUGACUCCAUUAUGCCAAUCCCACGCAAGCUUGCUGUUCUAUCCUCAUGCCAGCCUAUUCAAUCACGUGGUGUCCGUAAGAAAUGAAGUAUUUGAUAUAGAGCGCUGCCCUCAACAUGAGCUGAAAGUGCAAAUUUAACCUCUCUCCCAGUUUUUAUUUGGCACCGAUUGACCACGGAAAACCGGAGAUAUGAUCUUUUUAAUUUCAGAAUUGUAGUUAUGUAGGCAGUCAUAGUCUUUGGAUGAAUAACGCUUCAGUUUUAUGCAAUUUUUUUUUUUUCUCUUGUCGGAAUUCAAAGAUUUUUUUUUUCCUCCUUUGGCUUACUGUGGUUAUGUAAUGGGUUAUUGUAAAGUAUCAUAACAGUUCAAAUAGAUAACUUUGUGCUUAAAAAAAUAAAUAAAUCCAACCAAAAUAUAAGCAGUUACUCACAAUGUUACUCAUUACUUGAGUAUUCUUUUCACCAAAUACUUUAUUUGUACUUGAGUACAUUUUUUGGACAACUACUUGGGUAGUACUAUUUUGAAGCUGCACUACUCGAGUAAAAUUUUUGGCUACUCUACCCACCUCUGAUCCUGAAGGGUUACUUUCAGUGGAAAUAUCACUGAUAUCGUGACUGCUGCUAUGCAUAGUCUUCUCUUGCGUUUGGGAAUUUACAUCACACUUACGGGUUUGGGAAUGCAGUAUUGAUGGAGUGCUAAAAAAACCUAAAAAAUGCAAAUUAUCCUGGCAGUUACAAUUUAGAAAUGACAUGGUUGUUUCGAUAAACUCGUCUAAAGUUUAUAUUCGUAAAAUUACACCAAAAUCCGAAAAGCUCUUCACCUGCCCUUUAACACUGGGAAUUACCACUACCUCGUAGUCUGCAAUGAUUAUUACUACUGAAGUGUGGUUUUAGUCUUACAAUAUUAAUUUUCUAAUUUUUUCUAUUAAAUGUUUUUAAUUAACAAGCUCUUUGGUUACAAUCCAACAAAAUCCUCAAGUAUUUUACACUACAGUACCAAUUAAUAAAUUUCAAUUUUACACAUCACCAUUUGUUUAAACAUAGAUUUACAGAUUUUUGCAUAGUUAUUCGAAAAGAAUGUACUGGUUUCAUAAUGCAAUAUUUAAAUAAUAAACUAACAACAACAACUAUUAAAUUCCCAAUUACCGUACCUUGUUUCCCAUCUUUUGUUUCAUUUCUGAUCCAUCAUAAUACAAAGUGACAAAGAAAAAAAUAUGUAUGCUUUAUUUAACUGUAAAAAAAAACAAAAACAAUACAUCUGUCCCAUUUAUCCUUAUCAGGGUCAAAACUUAACUGUACAAACUCACUUUCUGCAUUGAUUCAGGCAAAGAUUUGUAUUGUACCAACAACAGUCCAGGAUAAUUGUUGUUUUUUUUUGUUUGUUUUUUUGUUUUUAACCAUUUUUUGUAAUGAACAUAAUUGAUUAAUCCUCAUGUGACACGAGACCGCUUUCAAUGUCAAAUGAAAAGUAUGACUCUUCAAAAUGUUUGGAAUUUCACAAAAGGCAACAUCUCUACUGCAGAGGUUGUUUGAGCUCAAAAAGCCCUGUUCCCCCUUUUACAACCUUCCCCACAACCAGGCAUGCUGAUGGGGACACUAGAGGAUCUUGGGAGCCUGAAAAACACACAAAAAUAAUCAGGAUAAUAAUAUGACAAUUGACUUGCCACACUUUUUUUCUCAUUGGUAAAAUUAGUGUGAAAUUAAAUUGUACGUCUAAAAAUAUGUCGCUGAGCGAGAGGAUUGGUUACUGUUGAAGUGGUUGAAAGUUGAUUUAUUUAUUUUUUUUAAUAUAUAUAUAGAUUCAGGAAGUAUUUGAACUCAUGUGUUCAUCAUUCUUUCAGGUUAGCUGGGUUUCUACACAUUAACAACAAUUCAUACACUUAUUAGAAUAAGUUAAUCAAACAACAAUUUAAUAGCAUAUUAUUUGAAUUUUCAAGGUGCAUUCAGACCAUCACUGGAUCGAUUCCAGAGAUGAUUUUUGUCGAGGCGUUAAAUUUUGCCCGUUUCUUGAUUUUGUAAACUAAAAUGUACCAAAAAAAUGCAUUGGUCUAAUGAAUCAGCGCACCACACAACAAAGACUACAUUUGAAAUCAUGCAGAGCAUUUUUUUUCCAUAGUGGGAAACCCCCCUAAUCUGUAUACUGAGUGUUUUUCCUCACCCAGCAUGGUUGCCUGUUUGAGAAAUUUGUAGCUGGUCUCAAAAGUCAUCUGCUGCAGAGGGGACGAGUUGGACACCAUAGCAUGGCGAUUUAGUGGUUUAUACACCCCCUCAAAACACAUGUAGUCCGCUACUAGUGAAAGAUGUCUGGGGUCCACCUCGAUACCUAGAGGAAGAUUGAGGGUGGGUAGGUUCAUGAACUUUGGAGGAUUUUUUCAUGAAUGUUUGUAAGCCUACCAUAUACUGCAAAUACAUCUUUGAUUUCUUUCUCUAUGACUUUGAGAGCCACUUCAAUCCCAUAUGUGUUCGCCAUGGCAUGAACCUCAUUGGAAUAAAGUCUGUUGACAUCCAGGAUCUGGAGGAUAUUGCAUAUGAACAGAUGAUUGUAAUAUUUUAACAAUUACAAUGCAAAAUGUGAAUGAAGGAACCGUCCACAUACGUCGCUGUGCUCAAAGAUUGUGUGCAUGUUUAUGCCCUCUGUGUUGAGAACCAUUUCUUUGUCUCCAGUCUUAGUUGUGGUCUCACUCAAAAGGCAUCGAGUCAAUCCCAUGGUCUCCAUUAUAACGGCAUUCUGGGCCAGUGUUGACACAACUGAUGACAGGUCAAAGUGCACUUUACUUACUGGCAAAGCUAGGUCCACCUGUCAAUAAUGGGAACAGCGAACACAGAGUUUAAUGACUUAAUAGGGGAAUUACUUUGAAGAAAUAAUAUGUGUUUUGGCAACAAGAAAAAAAAAAAAAAAAAAACUUACUUCACACCAGAGUUGGUCCUUCAGGUCAUAGCGGUAGCCCUCUAUUGCGGGGUUAGAACUCAGAACAGUGUUCACCCUCAUCUCCUCUGGCAAAUUAUCUCCGCUGUCUUUUUUUGACAUUUUCUUUUCAGUCAUCAAUUUUAUACCCGUUGACUCCGUUUGGGACUCCUCCAUAAUCAUAUCCUCAUUUUCAUGUACCUCCUUCUCUUCCUCCUCUCUAUCUUUAGUCUCAUCUUCCUCAUCACUGUCAUAAUCAACCUACGGAAGAAGAGAGAGUUUGAUUGACAGUUAAUAAUGGUAAUUAAUGGAACUGAACAUUCUGGGAGUAAAAAACUCCAGGAACUUCAGUGUUCCCCCAGAAAACUUGCAAAGCCUGGUGGUAAAAAAGCCUACCACAGCCCACCGUGUUAAAAAAAAAAACACGUUCACUUCACAUGGUUGUCCAUGAUAUUUUGAAAGCUGUAUGUUUAAUCUACAGUACAAGGACUUCUGCACUUUUUGUUUUGUUUUGUCUAGCUAUGAGCGGCAUUAGACAGCAACAUAACGGGUAUGCGCGCUGAGAUUCCGGGCACUUCUUCUGGGGUCACCUCGGGUAUGCGCGCUGAGAUUCCGGGCACUUCUUAUGGGGUCACCUCGGGUAUGCGCACUGAGAUUCCGGGCACUUCUUAUGGGGUCACCUCAUGAUGUUUAGGGAGAUGUGUCCUGAUCAAUCAGCUUUAAACUACUUUUUCCUUAAUGAAUGUAUAAAUCUUAGGUAAUAAAUGCUUUCUCUUGUUCCUGAAUUGUGUGUCGUAAUCUGUUCAUGAAGAGAAUUCAAGAACCUUUAAAAAGGAAAAAUUGACUUUCUUUUCCUUCAGGCUAUACCG